CCUACGGGUGGCAGCAGUGAGGAAUAUUGGUCAAUGGACGAGAGUCUGAACCAGCCAAGUAGCGUGAAGGAUGACUGCCCUAUGGGUUGUAAACUUCUUUUAUAUGGGAAUAAAACGUUCCACGUGUGGGAUUUUGUAUGUCUCAUAUGAAUAAGGAUCGGCCAACUCCGGGCCAGCAGCCGCGGUAAUACGGAGGUACCGAGCGUUAUCCGGAUUUAUUGGGUUUAAAGGGAGCGUAGGUGGAUUGUUAAGUCAGUUGUGAAAGUUUGCGGCUCAACCGUGAAAUUGCAGUUGAAACUGGCAGUCUUGAGUACAGUAGAGGUGGGCGGAAUUCGUGGUGUAGCGGUGAAAUGCUUAGAUAUCACGAAGAACUCCGAUGGCGAAGGCAGUUCACUGGACUGCAACUGACACUGAGGCUCGAAAGUGUGGGUAUCAAACAGGAUUAGAUACCCCAGUAGUC
rnacentral:rRNA from 1 species